GUCAGUCCCGGAGAGAACGCCGGUGGCGGGGCUGGUAGCCCGGCAGCCGCAGGUGGGGCCACGAGCGCUGGCUGAGGGACCGAGCCGGAGAGCCCCGGAGCCCCCGUAACCCGCGCGGGGAGCGCCCAGGAUGCCGCGCGGGGACUCGGAGCAGGUGCGCUACUGCGCGCGCUUCUCCUACCUCUGGCUCAAGUUUUCACUUAUCAUCUAUUCCACCGUGUUCUGGCUGAUUGGGGCCCUGGUCCUGUCUGUGGGCAUCUAUGCAGAGGUUGAGCGGCAGAAAUAUAAAACCCUUGAAAGUGCCUUCCUGGCUCCAGCCAUCAUCCUCAUCCUCCUGGGCGUCGUCAUGUUCAUGGUCUCCUUCAUUGGUGUGCUGGCGUCCCUCCGUGACAACCUGUACCUUCUCCAAGCAUUCAUGUACAUCCUUGGGAUCUGCCUCAUCAUGGAGCUCAUUGGUGGCGUGGUGGCCUUGACCUUCCGGAACCAGACCAUUGACUUCCUGAACGACAACAUUCGAAGAGGAAUUGAGAACUACUAUGAUGAUCUGGACUUCAAAAACAUCAUGGACUUUGUUCAGAAAAAGGGCCCCUUCCUGUCGUCUGAGCAGGGCCUGGGCGAUGACGGCAGCUCCUCUUUCCUGCUUGCUUCCCUCAGUUCAAGUGCUGUGGCGGGGAGGACUACCGAGAUUGGAGCAAGAAUCAGUACCACGACUGCAGUGCCCCUGGACCCCUGGCCUGUGGGGUGCCCUACACCUGCUGCAUCAGGAACACGACAGAAGUUGUCAACACCAUGUGUGGCUACAAAACUAUCGACAAGGAGGGACAUGGAUGAAGCUGGAAGCCAUCAUUCUCGGCAAACUGACACAGGAACAGAAAACCAAACACCGCAUGUUCUCACUCAUGGUUCCAAGGUCAUUGCAAAAGAAGAUGCAAAGAGGAUGGAAAAUUGAAGGUUCCUAUGCCUCAGGUCUGGAAAGGAUCUGCUUCUGCCCUGUUCCAUUAGCCAGAACUCAGUCACAUGAAGGCCAUGAGGAAGGACUCUGGAAGAUGUCUGAAUACUAGAAACCCCGAGAGCCAGAAGAAUGCAUUCGUCUGUGGUUCAAGCUAAGUAUGGGUAGUGCCAAGAUGGUUUCUGAUUUGGUCUCCACCACAUACAGUGAUUCCAAAGGGGGGUAAGACAUCCUUCCUCCUGCCCCAGUGUCAGCCCUUUGCAGUCUAUCUCGGUCUGCUUUUCAAGUACCCCUAAUAUCUUGGCACUUCCUCAUGGUGAAAAGUCUCCUUCCUCCCCUUCCUGAACCCAUCCAUGUGCCCAAUGCCCAAAGGACAUUUGGAGGGAUGCACUUAAAAUCAAAUUCGUCCACUGUCUAUUUGUUGAGAUAAGGUGUGGUGACAACAGCAGUCCAAGGGGACUACUAGCAGCCUCAGAAUCCAGCCACCCAGCCCUAGCCUUGUCAGGGCCACUCCUGGGCUGGGCACACUUGUAGGUGGGGAGGGAAGGGCAGCAUUGUCAGAGAAGACAGACCAAGCUGCAGCUGCCCUACUGGGAGGCUGGGAGGCCUGAAUAGCUUCACAGCGCUGGGCCCUGCUUGCUGAAUGGGGGCUUGGCUCCUCCCUGGCGGUGGUCCGGAAUGGAUGACAUUUUCAUUGCAAGCUAACAAGGGGAGAAAUCCAAUUACUUCACAAAGAGGCUCCUGAAGGGGCCUCACAGCCUGGAGAAAGAAGGGGAGGAGAAGAGGGGGAGAGGGAAGGAAGAAGGGGAGUGUGUGUGUGUGUGUGUGUGUGUGUGUGUGUGUGUGUGUGUGUGUGUGUGUGUGUGUAGGGAGGCUCCCACCCAGACCAGGAAAGGAACAAAGCCCUCAGGCCUCCAGGACAUGGCCUCCUGCAUACAGGCAGGGAGAUUGGAACUGGGGGGCUUUUAAUUGAUUUCCAGUGGGUCAGAGGGUCUGCCUGGAAACUCCAGGUCCCUGAGAGCUCCAGGCAAUCAGGCUUCCUCCCUGUGGAACAACCUGAGUGGUGCAGAAGAGGCCCCAGCCCUAUUUCUCUGCCCCAUCAGACUACAGUUUCCCUGACCUGAGUCAUCAAAGGCCCAUUAUACACUUUUUUACCUUUGUUGCAUCCACCUAAACUAUUAAUCCCUUUUUGAAACAUUUAUUUAAAGUGUAUUAUUUAAGCUCAGUAUUUUGGAAGUUUAUAUCCUAACUGCAAAUAGAAAAAGUAGAAGCUAAUUCUAAAUAGAAAUACAAUUCAAAUAGCCCAAUGUUGUUGAACCUCAGGGAGCUGAAAGCCUUGGGCUCUCUGGGGUGGAGGGUGGGAGUGAUGGGAUGGUGGGGUUAGCAAAUGUUUGCAAUCCAGAUUUCUCCCAGGUCUAAUCCAGGAGGAAGAAGAGGAUUGAAAAGGGAACACCUCCCUCCCGCAGCGGUUCAAAAGCUGCUCCAGGCAAGGCUAUGCCUCCAGGUCUUCCACACCUGCCCCCAGGGUAGUGGGUGUGGCGGCUUCACGGCCUUGCUGCCCUUAACUUUGGUUGCCCAACAGCUAGCUUAGUCCUCUCUUUUCCUCUUCCGGAAAAGAGAGGCAAAGUUAGGAACGAUUGAGUACUGGAUAGACCUACUUUCUGUGAGUUGUGGGGUGGUCACUGGAGUCCCAGAAAGUGUGAGAGGCCUGGGGGAGGUGGAAGAUAAUGGCAGUUCCAGGGCCACAAGCGUGUCCAGUCUCCCGCUCUCCCUCCCCUUCGACUCGGGAGGAAGGGCUACAGACCCCAUCUAGGAGGAAAUUAGCAUUCGCUUCCUCUGGCUCAGCCAGAGCAAAUCGGCCUUCAAAAGCCAGCGGCCUGGAGGCCACACAGCGCGCCCCUUUGUGGCUCCCACGCCUUGCCUCACCCUCUCCCCCAGCCGACUGAACUCCCUAGCUCCGAAGAGAGCAAAUGGGAGUCUCCUGAGGCACAAGGACCUGGGGUGGGGUGGGGCAGAUCUUCCUCAAUGCCCUCUCCAAACUGGGGGUCCCGCCUGCUUCUCCUGUCCUGUGGAGGCUUUUUGGUGAGCUUUGGUCCCAAAGGAGUUUAGGCCCCAAGGAUGGCACAGUGCUAGUCCUCACUCCCCCUUUACCCCCGGGAGAUUCAGGCCAAGUGGGAAGGCUGAGGGAGGGGCAGUGCUUGCUAGAGGGCAUGGCUCAGGUUAAGCUCCACCCACUCAGAUUUGUGUCCAAAAGUGGACAAGGACCACCCUGGGCUUUGGGGACUUCCUGCUCCCCUCUGAUCUCCCCAGGCCAUCUCUGUUCUCAGAAUACUGGAGGAGAGGAGGCUACGGAAAUGCGGGUUUCAUCCAGAGACUCAGGGGCACCCCUAAGUCCUCAGCGGGCUCACCGGUCAAGUCAGAUGCCUGGGGAGGGAGGCUGAGGGGAAGGGCUAAGGUGAGGAUGAUCUGCACAGUCGGAGGCAGUCAAAGAAGCUUAAAGAAGGUGAAGCUUAAAUAAUAAUCAUAGCCAACAAAAGCAGGCACCAGGAUUUCCUAAACACCUAAGGGAUUAACUGCUUUACCCUCCACUACUCUAGGAGGUAGCUGAGGCUGGCUAACUUGCUUAAAAAUCCCAGCUAGGCUGGGUGCGGUGGCUCACGCCUGUGAUCCCAGCACUUUGGGAGGCGGAGGCAGGCGAAUCACAAAGUCAGGAGUUCGAGACUAGCCUGGCCAACAUGGUGAAACCUCGUCUCUACUAAGAAUACAAAAAAUUAGCUGGGCGUAGUGGUGGGCACCUGUAAUCCCAGCUACUCGGGAGGCUGAGGCAGGAGAAUUUCUUGAACCCGGGAGGCCAAGGUUGCUGUGAGCUGAGAUCGUGCCACUGCACUCCAGCCCGGGUGACAGAGUGAGACUCUGUCUCAAAAAUAAAACAAAACAAAACAAAGCAAAAAACAAACAAACAAACAAAAAAACCAAACAAACAAAAAUCCCAGCUAGUGGGUGGCCGAGUUUACCUUGUAUUUCCUUGCUAUCUACCCAUUCCUAGUCCGUAUUCUUCACCUCCUUGUGGCAUUUGAUUUUGUUAAGACUCAAUCUUUUGGCUUCCAGAACUCCACUCUCUUCCUGGACUCUUCUAACCUCUCUGAUCAUUCCAUGUGCGUCUUCCUAGGGGCCCACCCAGGGCUUCUGCUGCCAGGGCAGUGUGUGUAUGCACAAACAGAGAGCCUGCGUAGUCUCUAGAUUCCAGAUACUCUCUGGAGUAGUGCAGUUUGGCAGUGUUGACCCUACCCCUUGAAUGUGCCUGGGGUUUAUUCCUUGGCCUUCUCAUCUGUAACCAGACUCAUUGUUUUAACAUUAUCUCUUCCCUGAUGACUCCCAAACUUUUGUCUCUAUCCUUGACAAAUCCCAUGGCCUAUGGGACACAUUCAUCUGGAUAACUCAACUCAAAAACACAAGAGGCCAUCAACUGAACUCAUGCUUCCUCCAAACCUUCUCACACUGGAAUUUCUGUCCUACGCAUCCAAGGUGGAAACUCUUGGGUUCUCAUUGAUUCAACUCUGCCCUGACACCCUCAUCUCCCUUUUCAACCAAACACCUCUCCUGCCCCAUUGUUUUUGCCAACCCAACAUCCAAUCACCAAGGUAAUUCUGCCUUUGAAAUCUCUCCUGCACCUCCCCUCUCCUCAUCUACUAAGUCUCCAUCAUCUCAUACUUUGACUAUUUGACAUAGAUCCCUAACAAAUGUCACUGCUCAGUCUUUCUGCUGCAGACAAAGAGCCCUUCAAACCCAGUCUCACAAAAAUCUCCCUGCUCAAAGAGUUCUGUGAGGCCGGGCACAGUGGCUCACAUCUGUAAUCCCAGCACUUUGGGAGGCUGAGGCAGGAGGAUCACAUGAGGUCAGGAGUUCAAAACCAGCCUGGCCAACAUGGUGAAACCUCAUUAAAAUACAAAAAUAAAAAAUUUAAAUACAUAAUUUAAAUUAAAAAUUAAUUAAAAUACAAAAUUAAAAAUAUAAAAAUUAACCGGGCGUGGAAUCACAUGCCUGUAAUCCCAGCUACUCAGGAGGCUGAGGCAGGAGAAUCUCUUGAACCUAGAAGAUGGAAGUUGCAGUAAGCUGAGAUGGCGCCACUGCACUCCAGCCUGGGCAACAGAGUGAGACUCCAUCUCAAAAAAAAAAAGGUCUGUGCCAUCCCUUAACAAAACUCCUAUCACUUGCUCUUCAUCUUCCAUGUGCUAUGCACCCUAUACCCCACUAUAGGCACUUAUCUAAACACUCCUUGUCUUUUCAUAUUUAUUUAUUCACAUGUCCCAUAAUUUUUUAUUUGAUAUCAUCUAUGAACCAGGCCCUGUGCUCACUGCUGGGAGAGAUAAACAUGAAUCAGACCCUGGCCCUGCACUCUGGAGGAUGAAGUCUGUUCUUCAUGUUGUUGCUAUUCUGCCAUUUUGAUAUACCCUUUUCCAUCAGAAAAUGUCUACUCUCAUAAAUAGAAAGUCUUAUAUUUUUCCCACAUAUCAGUGCAUCAUUUUAUGUAUGCACUCCUUGGAGUUCAUACAGUGCACUUUGAAGACAUCUGGACUAAGACCCAGAAACAGGAAGUAAAUAGAGUUUUUUGGUUGAAAGUGACAGAAAACCAAUUCAAACAAGUAGGAAAGGGAAUUUAUUGGUUCACAUAAGCAGGAAGUGCCGAGGUAGAUUAGAGCUGACCUUAGAGACUCCAAGAACACAUCACCUGUCACUCCCUCUGUCUGCCUCCUCAGGCCUUCUACCCUGAUGACUUCUAUUGCAGAGAUGGGUGAAGAGUAGAUGGUAGAUCUGGUGGCAGAAAGCUAUGAGCUUAUGUCAAUCCAGCCUAGUGAUGCCCCUGGAAAAAUAUGUUCUUUCCUAGCAUUCAUCUAAAAAUCUUAAGAAAUGGUUGUCAUUGACCCAAUUUGGAUAAUGUAUUCAUUCCUGAACCAGUAACUGAGGCAAGGGGAUGAAGAGCUCUGAAGGGAGAGGCUUGAAUCACAUACUCAUCCCUGUGGUCUGGAGGGCACUGUGACUGGUAACUGAAGAAGAACCACAUGGAAUUGGGGAGGAGCAGUUCUCCAAAGGAAGGUGAGUGCUGUAAUCAGAAAGGGGGGAAAGGAUCGGGGGCAGACAAACACAAAAAAUGCCACUACAGACAGUGUGGAGGCAAAACUAGACUACUGAUCCUUGAUUCUUUCCAUUGCAUUAUGGUGUUGUAGCUAGAUGAUCAAACCACAUAUCCCUCAGAAGACAGGUAUGAUCCUAAGAUAGUCCAGUCCUCAUUAUUGUACAGGAGCUGCAUAGGCAGAACAUUUCCUUACUCCUGAUGUUUCUUUCUAGACUUCUGCUUCCAGUUGUAAGGGAAGCCCUAUAAUUGAGACAGACUUACCAUUCUCCUGUAAACAGAAAACUUGACAAAACAUAUGAAAUAACAGUUUUCAGACAAUGGACUGUGAUCCUUGAGAGAAUGGAAACAAAUGAGGUGAGCCCUGUGAUCACCUGGCUUUCUGCUGGAGAUUUCUGGUCUGUGAUGCAGGGAUGGGGAACCCAAAGAGAGCCUGGUGGUCUUGCUGAGUUGAGGAUACAAAGAAGAGAAUUCAGGAGGUUGAGGCAGCUAGGGUUUGCACGUAGUGGAAAGAUUUUUACAGAGAAAGUUUCAGAAACAUGCAUAGAGCUCCCUUGAGUUCCCAUGAAGCUAACUAAAAAAAAAAUCCAGGGAAAGGACAAUUACUUGGGAGAAGUAAGAUAAAAAGAUUCUUAGAGUUCACACAGGUUGGGGAAUCAUUUGAGGUUCUACUAACCAGGAUGGAGACGCAUUGCUAUAAUAUGUGAGGCAUUUAUAUAUUUGAUGAAAGAUUCUAGAAGGGUCAUAUUUCAAUGGUGGGGCUAACCUAGCUCUAGAGUGAAGGUUACUGUAGUCCCAUUUUUUAAGAGCUUAAAAACAAGCUUUAAAAAGAUUAUAGUUGUCUUUUAAUGGCCUCCAGGACAAAAUGCAACCCCUCUUUAAUGGAAUACAAUAAAAUCAAGCACUCAAUGAUGUAAAUUUGCAUUACCCAGCAUCUAAUCAAGAAUGACUAGAAAUACACAGAAUUAGAAAUAUGUUACCCAUAAUUAGAUGUGGAUGCUAAAGCAACUCCAUCUUGGAUGCUAAUCUGCCAUGUUGACUUCUGAUUAACCCUGUUCUGGGAAGGCCUGUAAGAUUUCUACUUUAUCUACUGUUAUCAUACAUGUUGCCCAGAGGUCAAAACAACCUUGAUAAUAAAUUCUUCUCUCAGGCAGACUAACACAGCAUUCUUGCCUUUCCCUGAGGAGUUGAAUUCAACUGUCUUAUACACUCCUUCCCUAUGGUAUAUAAACCCUGGGUCUGGGGCAGGGAUAAUGGUGUGGGGAUCCACCAUCUUGUCUUACCACCAUCUGAGACAUGGCUUCUGUUAAUAAGUCCCUAUUAAAUUUUUCUUUCUGAUAAA